rnacentral:rRNA from 1 species
AGCGAACGCUGGCGGCAGGCUUAACACAUGCAAGUCGAGCGGGCACUUCGGUGUCAGCGGCAGACGGGUGAGUAACCCGUCGGAACGUACCCUUUGGUUCGGAAUAACGCUGGGAAACUAGCGCUAAUACCGGAUACGCCCUUUUGGGGAAAGGCUUGCUGCCGAAGGAUCGGCCCGCGUCUGAUUAGCUAGUUGGUUGGGUAAUGGCCUACCAAGGCGACGAUCAGUAGCUGGUCUGAGAGGAUGAUCAGCCACACUGGGACUAAGACACGGCCCAGACUCCUACGGGAGGCAGCAGUGGGGAAUAUUGGACAGUGGGCGCAAGCCUGAUCCAGCCAUGCCGCGUGAGUGAUGAAGGCAUUAGGGUUGUAAAGCUCUUUUGUCCGGGACGAUAAUGACGGUACCGGAAGAAUAAGCCCCGGCUAACUUCGUG